AUUGAACGCUGGCGGCAUGCUUUACACAUGCAAGUCGAACGGCAACGAGGAGAAGCUUGCUUCUCUGUCGGCGAGUGGCGAACGGGUGAGUAUAGCAUCGGAACGUGCCAAGUAGUGGGGGAUAACCAAACGAAAGUUUGGCUAAUACCGCGUAAGCUCCAAGGAGGAAAGUAGGGGACCUAAAUAAGGCCUUACGCUAUUUGAUCGGCCGAUGUCGGAUUAGCUAGUUGGUGGGGUAAUGGCUCACCAAGGCAAUGAUCCGUAGCGGGUCUGAGAGGACGAUCCGCCACACUGGGACUGAGACACGGCCCAGACUCCUACGGGAGGCAGCAGUGGGGAAUUUUGGACAAUGGGGGAAACCCUGAUCCAGCCGUGCCGCGUGUAUGAAGAAGGCCUUAGGGUUGUAAAGUACUUUUGUUAGGGAAGAAAAGCUAGUUUUUAAUAAAAAUUAGUGAUGACGGUACCUAAAGAAUAAGCACCGGCUAACUACGUG
rnacentral:rRNA from 1 species